UACAGAGGGCCCAAGCGUUGUUCGGAUUCACUGGGCGUAAAGGGCGCGUAGGUGGUUGGGUAAGUCUGGUGUGAAAUCUCCGAGCUCAACUCGGAAAUGGCAUCGGAUACUAUCUGGCUAGAGGAGUGGAGGGGGGACUGGAAUUCUUGGUGUAGCAGUGAAAUGCGUAGAUAUCAAGUGGAACACCAGUGGCGAAGGCGAGUCCCUGGGCAAUUCCUGACACUGAGACACGAAAGCUAGGGGAGCGAACAGG
rnacentral:rRNA from 1 species